UCCGGUUUGUCACCGGCAGUCUCAUUAGAGUGCCCUUUCGUAGCAACUAAUGACAAGGGUUGCGCUCGUUGCGGGACUUAACCCAACAUCUCACGACACGAGCUGACGACAGCCAUGCAACACCUGUGUGGGAGCCAGCCAAACUGAAGGAUUUCCUUUCGGAGAUCCACACUCCCCAUGUCAAGGCCUGGUAAGGUUCUUCGCGUUGCCUCGAAUUGAACCACAUGCUCCACCGCUUGUGCGGGUCCCCGUCAAUUCCUUUGAGUUUUAAUCUUGCGACCGUACUCCCCAGGCGGAGUGCUUAAUGCGUUAGCGACGCCACUGAGCCUUACGGCCCAACAGCUAGCACUCAUCGUUUAGGGCGUGGACUAC
rnacentral:misc_RNA from 1 species